rnacentral:rRNA from 1 species
UACGUAGGGUGCGAGCGUUGUCCGGAAUUACUGGGCGUAAAGAGCUCGUAGGUGGUUUGUCGCGUUGUUCGUGAAAUCUCACGGCUUAACUGUGAGCGUGCGGGCGAUGCGGGCAGACUAGAGUACUGCAGGGGAGACUGGAAUUCCUGGUGUAGCGGUGGAAUGCGCAGAUAUCAGGAGGAACACCGGUGGCGAAGGCGGGUCUCUGGGCCGAUACUGACGCUGAGGAGCGAAAGCGUGGGGAGCGAACAGG